rnacentral:rRNA from 1 species
UACAGAGGCCCCAAGCGUUAGUCGGAAUCACUGGGCUUAAAGGGUGCGUAGGCGGGCUCGCAAGCGUCUUGUGAAAUCCCAUGGCUCAACCAUGGAACCGCAGGGCGAACUGCGAGCCUCGAGGCAUGUAGGGGCGGGUGGAACUGUAGGUGGAGCGGUGAAAUGCGUAGAUAUCUACAGGAACGCCGAUGGGGAAGCCGACCCGCUGGGCAUGUCCUGACGCUGAGGCACGAAAGCGUGGGGAGCAAAC